rnacentral:rRNA from 1 species
AGAUUAAGUUAUUAAGGGCGCACGGUGGAUGCCUUGGCACUAGAAGCCGACGAAGGACGUUACUAACGACGAUAUGCUUUGGGUAGCUGUAAGUAAGCGUUGAUCCAGAGAUUUCCGAAUGGGGAAACCCAGCACGAGUUAUGUCGUGUUAUCGACAAGUGAAUUCAUAGCUUGUCUGAAGGCAGACCCGGAGAACUGAAACAUCUUAGUACCCGGAGGAAGAGAAAGAAAAAUCGAUUCCCUGAGUAGCGGCGAGCGAAACGGGAAGAGCCCAAACCAAUAAGCUUGCUUAUUGGGGUUGUAGGACACUCUAUACGGAGUUAUAAAAGAAUAUAUUAAACGAAUCAUCUGGAAAGUUGAAUCAAAGAAGGUAAUAAUCCUGUAGUUGAAAAUAUAUUCUCUCUUGAGUGGAUCCUGAGUACGACGGAGCACGUGAAAUUCCGUCGGAAUCUGGGAGGACCAUCUCCUAAGGCUAAAUACUCUCUAGUGACCGAUAGUGAACCAGUACCGUGAGGGAAAGGUGAAAAGUACCCCGGAAGGGGAGUGAAAGAGAACUUGAAACCGUGUGCUUACAAGUAGUCAGAGCCCGUUAAUGGGUGAUGGCGUGCCUUUUGUAGAAUGAACCGGCGAGUUACGAUCUGAUGCAAGGUUAAGCAGAAAAUGUGGAGCCGUAGCGAAAGCGAGUCUGAAUAGGGCGUUGAGUAUUUGGUCGUAGACCCGAAACCAGGUGAUCUACC